ensembl:lncRNA
UCUACCAACUGCGUUUUUAUUUUUUUAUUAAGACUUUCUCUCCCAAUUCUAUACCACCAAUUAGCUGUAUUUACACAACUACAUCCAAUCAUAUCCUUUAAAAAAAGACACUGGGUUAAACAUUUAAAAUAAAAAAAAACACAAGUUAUCUACUCUCCGCUACUUCAGAUUACUCUGGGUGUGUGAUAACCCAUACAGUUCUCUGUGCAUCAUGGAACAGAGCACUGUCCACAAAGAUCAGUUUGAAUUUCGACCUUGGGUUUAUUAUUGGAGGAAAAAACAUGAACACAGAACAGAAAUAUUGGAUUGGAUUAAUAUUGUACAUGUAAAGCGUACUUCAUAUAGACCGUGGAUAUGUAGCUGAAUUACAGUACCGCAUUUAGUAAUAUAGAAUAUGUAAGCUGAAUUACAGUACCGCAUUUAGUAAUAUAGAAUAUGUAAGCUGAAUUAGAGUACCACAUUUAGUAAUAUAGAAUAUGUAAGCUGAAUUACAGUACCACAUUUAGUAAUAUAGAAUAUGUAGCUGAAUUACAGUACCGCAUUUAGUAAUAUAGAAUAUGUAGCUGAAUUACAGAUAUUGCAUUUAGUAAUAUAGAAUAUGUAGCUGAAUUACAGAUAUUGCAUUUAGUAAUAUAGAACAUGUAAGCUGAAUUACAGAUAUUGCAUUUAGUAAUAUAGAAUAUGUAAACUGAAUUAGAGUAUCACAUUUAGUAAUAUAGAAUAUGUAAACUGAAUUAGAGUAUCACAUUUAGUAAUAUAGAAUAUGUAAACUGAAUUACAGAAGUGUAUUUAGUUGAACAGCUGCAAUUAUGUGUGACUGGAUAUGAGAAUAAAAUUCAGAAAACUCAAAAACGUACAUACAGCACUACUUAUUAUAAGGUAUAACAUUGUACUACUAAUGUAGGUUAGAAUCAUCCCUUAUGUGAACAUUGACAUCCAAUUUGACAAUAUACAUUGAGGAACUUUAUGGAUUUGAUUUUACAAAAAAAAAAAAAUGUUUUCCAUAAAUCCCUGGAGAUAAAACAUGGGAGACAUAAAAGCCAGAAAACACAUACUCACUCAAAAUGAAUAUGGUCCCUCACCACGAUACAAAGUUAAGAGACGGUGGCCAGGUAUUAAUAUGGUCCCUCACCACGAUACAAAGUUAAGAGACAGUGGCCAGGUAUUAAUAUUGUCCCUCACCACGAUACAAAGUUAAGAGACAGUGGCCAGGUAUUAAUAUUGUCCCUCACCACGAUACAAAGUUAAGAGACAGUGGCCAGGUAUUAAUAUUGUCCCUCACCACGAUACAAAGUUAAGAGACAGUGGCCAGGUAUUAAUAUUGUCCCUCACCACGAUACAAAGUUAAGAGACAGUGGCCAGGUAUUAAUAUGGUCCCUCACCACGAUACAAAGUUAAGAGACAGUGGCCAAGUAUUAAUAUGGUCCCUCACCACGAUACAAAGUUAAGAGACAGUGGCCAGGUAUUAAUAUGGUCCCUCACCACGAUACAAAGUUAAGAGUAGCCAGGUUUUUCAUCCAAUUAGCAACAUAUUUUCACGCAAAUAUUCUAACAUUUGCCAUAAAACAAUAUUCACAUUUUUUUCACACCAGAGAUGUUUUUCCAUCAAACGUAAUUUGUGCGGAUAAAAGACUGUGUGGCGUAGUGCACAUAAAACACACCUUUUUCUCUUCAAUCCCCAAUAGAAGUUCAUUGGGUUUCCAUUGCGUUUUGUGAUGUGAGAGAAGUGUUAUAUAUAGCGAAUGUGUCCACUCUGGUCUCUAGCCAACAGUUCGCAAAUGCAGUGCAUUAUGAGAUGAUUUAUGGAUAAAAGCGAUAUAAUUUUUUUUUCAUUUUGUCAAACGGCAGCCAAGUAUCUAUCAACAUGUCACUGGAAUAAGACCCUGGAUAUGGAUUGGAAAGGCGCAUCAAGCUCAUCACCACCCGGUGAAGUUCAUCAUCAUUUAUUUCAUCUGUAGCUUAAUAAACUGUGUGGUUUCCCGAGUCGUAGUGGGGAGGACUACACAACAUAUCAUCGCCGGACUCCAAGUUGACGUCAAUACGAUGGUUAUUAUAUCAAUAAUUAAGUAUAAAGGCAUUUCCACUACCAUUUCUUGCAUAAUUAAUUUUACCGACACAAAAAAGAUCCCGCCAUGUCGAACGAACAAAUUGUCUGUCGGCAUUUCUACAAAUGUACCAGUAUUUAAUGUUUCCAUAAACCCAGUCGUAACUUCUUUCAUGUGUCAGGUAAUUCAUCCGCAUGAAAUGUUUGGAUGGAAACGUGGUUAGUGUCAGACAGAGAAGCAGUCAUAAUUACCAGAGAACAUCAUUGAAGUAAACAUACACAUUCACAAAACAAUAAAAAAUAAAUAUACAAUAAAAUAAAAUAAAAAGUACAUAACAACAUUUAUAGUACAUAUUAAAUGUCAAUUGUCUGACAAAAAAAAAACAGUUGGUUCGUGAAAGUAGGCGCUUUGGGAGGGGAAGGCUUUUGGUUGGUUAGUACUGGAGAGGGUUGUUAUGGUAACCAGCCGUGCUAGGCUGUGAUUGGUUGACAGUCAGCCAGGCUGGCCUGUGAUUGGUUGAAAGUCAGUGAGCGUGUCCAGAUCAGUCCUUGCCGGCAUCGAUCUUCUCUUGCCGUCGUCUCAUGAUCUCUUGGAGCUCUGAAUCCCCACUGCUCUUCUGGAAAACAGUAAUACAGGCUUUAGUUUCACACGUCCCAAACACUGAACAAAAAGAGAAACACAACAUGCAACAUUUGUAAAGAUUUUACUGAGUUACAGCUCAUAUAAGGAAAUCAGUCAAUUGGGAUGAAUUAAUUAGGCCCUAAUCUAUGGAUUUAACAUGACUGGGAAUACAGAUAUCCAUCUGUUGAUAACAGAUAUAUAUAUAUAUUUUUAAAGGUAGGGGCGUGAAUCAGAAAACCAGUCUGUAUCUGGUGUGACCACCAUUUGCCUCAUGCAGCGCGACAUAUCUCCUUCGCAUAGAGUUGAUCAGGCUGUUGAUUGUGGUCUGUGGAAUGUUGUCCCACUCCUCUUCAAUGGCUGUGCGAAGUUGCUGGAUAUUGGCGGGAACUGGAACACACUGUCGUACACGUCAAUCCAGAGCAUCCCAAACAUGCUCAACAGGUAUCGUGUCUGGUAAGUAUGCAGGCCAUGGAAGAACUAGGACAUUUUCAGCUUCCAGGAAUUGUGUACUGAUCCUUGAGACAUGGGGCCAUGUAUUAUCAUGCUGAAACAUGAGGUGAUGGCAGCGGAUGAAUGGCACGACAAUGGGGCCUCAGGAUCUCAUCACGGUAUCUCUAUGCAUUCAAAUUGCAAUCGAUAAAAUGCAAUUGUGUUUAUUGUCCGUACCUUAUGCCUGCCCAUACCAUAAUCCCACCAUGGGGCGCUCUGUUCACAACGUUGACAUCAGCAAACCGCUCGUCUACACAACGCCAUACACGGUACCAUCUGUCUGGUACAGUUGAAACUAGGAUUCACCCAUGAAGAGCGCACUUCUCCAGCGUGCCAGUGGCCAUCGAAGGUGAUCAUUUACCCACUGAAGUCUGUUACGACGCUGAACUGCAGUCAGGUCAAGAACCCGGUGAGGACGACGGGCACACAGAUGAGCUUCCCUGAGACAGUUUCUGUCCAGUUUGUGCGGAAAUUCUUCAGUUGUGCAAACACACAGUUUAAUCAGCUGUCCAGUGGCUGGUCUCAGACCAUCCCGCAGGUAGAGAAGCCUGAUGUGGAGAUCCUGGGCUGGUGGGGUUUCACAUGACCUGCGGUUGUGAGGCCGGUUGGACGUACUGCGAAAUUCUCUAAAACGACAUUGGAGGUGGCUUAUGGUAGAGAAAUGAACAUUACAUUCUCUGCUCCGGUGGACAUUCCUGCAGUCAGCAUGCCAAUAGUAUGCUCCCUCAAAACACCAGACAUCGGUGGCAUUGUGUUGUGUGACAAAACUGCACAUUUUAGAGUGGCCUUUUAUUGCCCCCAGCACAAGGUGCACCUGUGUAAUGAUCAUGCUGUUUAGUCAGCUUCUUGAUAUGCCACACCUGUCAGGUGGACGGAUUAUCUUGGCAAAGGAGAAACGCUCACUAACAGGGAUGUAAACAUAUUUGUGCACAACAUUUAAGACAAAUAACCUUCUUGUGAAAAAUGAAAAAUGUCUGGGAUCUUAUUUCAGCUCAUGAAACAUGGAUCCAACACUUUGCAUUUAUAUUUUUGUUCAGUGUAUGUGUAUUUGUAUCAGUACAUGUAUCUAUCCACUUAACUAUAAAAAGACAAAUGUGGGUCUCAAAGCCUUAAAACAGCCACACAAGGAGUGUGUGUGCGUA